rnacentral:rRNA from 1 species
UACGUAGGGUGCAAGCGUUGUCCGGAAUUAUUGGGCGUAAAGGGCUCGUAGGCGGAAUGUUAAGUCAGGGGUGAAAUCCCGGGGCUCAACCCCGGAACUGCCUUUGAUACUGGCAUUCUCGAGUCCGGAAGAGGUGAGUGGAAUUCCGAGUGUAGAGGUGAAAUUCGUAGAUAUUCGGAGGAACACCAGUGGCGAAGGCGGCUCACUGGCUCGGUACUGACGCUGAGGUGCGAAAGCGUGGGGAGCAAACAGG